AUGGAAUGGACCCAUCUAGUGAAAUGUGAGAAAGUGCGGUACAGAAACUUGAAGAGGAACCACCUGGCUAUGCUUACUAUAGGGCUGAAAUCCCCAGUACCUGCGUUUAUGAGGAGAAGCAGGCCUAAAUUGUUGAACACUGCUCCGCUUUUUGCACCCAGCGACUCAGAGGAGGAUGAGUGGACCCCUCGACUGGAGAGAUGCCCACCAGCAUCCCGGAGCUUCCGACGCCCACCCAGGAGACCAGCAGCAUCUCAGGGAGUCCCUCAGCCUGACAAACCUGCCACACCUGCUACACUUACAGUACAGGUAACUGUUUUUUAAAACACCUGCACAGGUGCAUUUAAUACAUCUUGUGAGUUUUUGUUUCUCUUCUUCACUACGCUAGCAGAUACUAGUCCUGUCAAUGACUGGAGCUGUGAAGUGUGAACCAAUUAAUUAAAUUAUGGUUAUAAAGUGUCUUCGGAAAGUAUUCAUACCCCUUGACCUAUUCCAUAUUUUGUUGUGUUACAGCCCUGAAUUCAACAUGUAUAUCAUGUUCGGUAUGUAAUUGCUCUACUGUAGAUAAAGAGGGCUGACAACUCUGUCUGUUCAUCAUUGUCAUAUUUGUCAUAUAACGCUCUGUCCCCCUCCCCCACCCCUCUCCUUUGAUCCUCAGCAGCCCCCCAGUGGCGAGGAGGCAGGACCCAGUAAUAUGGGGACAGAACCCGCCCAGCCAUUAAUGGAGGAGCUGACAGAAGAGGAAGUGGCCUUCCUCAGAGACGGCAGCCCAGCAGACACCCACAGUGGAGUACAGGAGGGGCUAGGAGCCACGGUGUGUGUUACUGUCAUACACACAACACAACACACAAUAUAUUUUCAUUCAUGUUGUUUCAAAUCAAAGAUGAUGAUGACACACAGGCCAAGUGGUCAGUUUGAACUCUCCUCUUGUCUCUUUCCAGGAGGGUCAGAGUGAAGCGACCCCCAGCACCAGUGGAGGGGAGGCAGGGAGUUCCACAAAGCAAGGGGCUCGUUUGUUGCACCCCAAACCAUCAACCUCAGGUAACAGAGACAGACAAGAAUAGACUGUUAGAGUUUGAUAUGGUGAUUUAAAACCCGUUUGUUUCAUUUGGCUUCAAAGAAAAUAGCUUAUUUUGUGUUUGUACCAGGCCUGUCUAAGAGAGAGUGGCUGGAAAGGCAGAAAGCAGAGCUGAACACAUACAAGCGCAGCAGAAAUCUGAGAGACAGACCAAGAAUCACUUACACAGAGGAGGAGGUCCCCAAAGAUGAUCACUACCUCUGUGAGUCAUUAUCUCUCUAUCUCUCUGUGUAUCUAUCGCUUUCUAUCUAUCUCUCUCGGAAUAAAGACAUUUCAAAUGUCAUAUUAUGUAUAUAUACAGUGUUGUAAUGAUGUGCAAAUAGUUAAAGUACCAAAGGGAAAAUAAAUAAGCAUAAAUAUGGGUGUAUUUAGAGGUCGACCGAUUAUGCUUUUUCCACGCCGAUAUCAAUUAUUGGAGGACCAAAAAAGCCGAUACCGAUUAAUCGGACGAUUUUUCAUGACAAUAAUGACAAUAACAACACUUAUU
rnacentral:lncRNA from 1 species